UGGACAGAUUAUUGUAUUCGACUGUAUUCACGGCGUAAAAUAUGGUUUUACACUGUUUUUAAAACGGAAAGUGAAUCAAUUAACAUAAUAGACUCCU
rfam:Nicotiana attenuata strain TT scaffold02253, whole genome shotgun sequence.